rnacentral:sRNA from 1 species
UUUUCAUGCCGGGGUUU